UUUUUUUUUUUUUUUUUUUUUUUUUGUGUUCAAGGAAGACUUCAAACAUUACAAAAGGAAAACAAAAAAAGGGGGAAAGUUUGAAAGCCAAACUGUUUCGGGUUGGAUUACUUUUGCUAAACAACCACAUUUAGAACAUAAAUAAAAUUACUCUUAAAAGUAGUUAGUUAGAACUGUCAAUGGGGUUGGAUCAACACAAACUCAACUCGUUCAACCCAAAAAAAGCUUGAUAAGCCUGAUCUUUCAGUGAGCUUGUUUAAGGUUGGACCUAAAAAUCAUAUCCAAAUUAAAUAUGAACCAACCUUGGGUCUCAUUAGAUUCAAAUCCGAUAUAAGCCCGACCCAUUAAUUACUUAUAUAUUUAAUAUUUAUAUUUUGAUAUUAUAUUACUAAAUACUAAAUAUAUACAAAUUGCUAAAUAUAAAAAUAGAUAUGAAAACUCUUCUAUUAGAUUUCUUGAGAGCCAAUAUUGCUAAUGUAGAACUAAAGCUAACUUUUCUUAUUGGUUGAGUAAAUUUUUAUAUUGGUACAAUAUUAAUUGAUUUUUUUUCUAGAAAUACAAAUCAUCAAGCAUGUUUGAAUUCAAGUCACAAAACUAUGAAGAAAUUCCAAUCUUUGAAGAUGUAUUGAUUUAUAACCGUAUAUUUUAUUACUAUUUUUCAUAUACUUUGAACGAAUUAUAUAUAAAUAUUGUUAAAAAAUUCUUGGUUUAUGUACUUUUUAAGGACUAUUACUUAUUCAUGUUUAGUUUUAAUAUUGUAAUUAUGUGAAUGUUAAAUUAGUUUUACAACUUAAUAGUUAUAGUAAUGAUAUUAAAAAAAUUAAGAAGUAAUAAAUGAACUUGGGCUAAAUUCGAAUAAGACUCAAAACGUGAAUAUUUUGUAAAUUGAGUAUGAUCUUCACAUUUAUUAACUUGAAACUCAUGACCCGAAACUUGAAAAUGUUACAAAUUAAAUGAACUAAACUUGAGUUUAUAAAAUCUCGGUUCAUAUGGCCAGAUUGACAAGCCUAUAGUUAGUGAGUAUCAUUCUUUAAAUUUAAGAGUAGAGUUUCCGACAAUUAAAACACUUUUAACACAAUCUCAAAAUUUAGUACUUUCAGAAUGAUUUUUAUGGUCCAAAAAAUAUAUAUAUAACUUUAACCAUUUGUUUUAAAUUUUGAACUAGAUGAAGAACUAAAUAUGUUUCAAAUUUUCAAAAUUACAAAUUAUCAAAUAAAAAAUUACUUGUACAAGUACGUAUCCAAAAUAAUAUGAUUAAGCACUUAAUACUUUGAUCAACAAAUUCUACUACUUAAAGUGACUAGCCAACUUAAACUUAUACUUAUUUACAAAUUUCCUCAAACUUAAUCUACAACUAUAAAAAUUUCACAAAAUUUGGCAAGAAGUUUUAUAAUUUCGAGUAGUAGGAGUGUGGAAUGAGAGCAAUGGCCGGCGACGCGGCUGAUCAGAGCCAUAGAUUCUUCGUCGCCGUUCACGUUGGUGCCGGAUACCACUCGCCGUCGAACGAGAAAGCGCUUCGUUCCGCCAUGAAGCGCGCCUGCCUCGCAGCCUCUUCUCUUCUCCGCAAGGUCUCUUUUAUCUCUCCAUUUUUUUUUUGGCAUUUCACUUCAGACUUUAAAGCGUUGGUUGAGAAUAAAUUAAGAAAGUUUGGAGUCAAUUUUAAUCUCUAAUUUAGUUCCAGUAUACGUGCCAAUGUGCUUAAUUAAUUCCACGUAGUGUUGCAUGUAAAUAUGUUCGCUUAUAAAUAUUAUUCUCGAAAUGUGAUUUCUUUUAGGGUACUGGCCGAUGUAUUGAUGCUGUUGUUGCUGCAAUUCAAGUUUUGGAGGUUCGCAUUUUUCUUUUCUUAGCCUUCUUGGAGGGUUAAUUUAAUAUUUAAGUUUCAUAAUUUCGGAUGUUUUGGAAAAGUUGAGUUUGUCAGCUUCAAUUUUCAUAAGUUGGGAUUUUUUUGAAGUUCAGUUGUAAAAUGCAUCGUCUGGCUUGCCAGAGUCUUGGGAUGAAUUCAUAUAACCUUAUCCUUGACUCUUCAUAUCUGUUGUGUUUGGUGCAAAUUUCAGAAGUUGGGAUUUCUUUCUGAGUUAGUAAUAAAAUGCAUGAUUCUGUUGGCGACAAAACUAAAAUGCAUGAUUCUGUUGGCGAUUUAGUUUUAUCAUCAGUCAAUAUAACUUAAUUCUUCGUUUGCUUCAGGAAUAGUCGUCUGAUAACUAUUAGACGCUAUUUCAUUUCUUCAAGGGACCACUAACUGUAGGGUAUUACAAACUAGUGAACUACCAAAGUGACCGGUGUUUUUGAUUCCUGGUUUAGUUGGACUAAAAGCAUAUUGCAGUGGAGUCAAGUUGUUUAGAGAAAUACCUGAGCUAGGUACUUGAUUUCUGAUAGUCAGUAGGAUCUCACAAGAUUUGAUUGGCGAGAUGUUCUUUUGAUUUGGAAUUAUUUUGUUUAGUGUUCGUUCUUGAUCAUGACCAAGUAGAAUAGUGUGAAAUAAGUGAAUCAAUCUAGUUGAUGAAUUUAUGGUUGGACAACAUUGGAUUGACAUUAUUGCAAACAGGAUGAUCCUUGCACCAAUGCCGGGAGAGGCUCAAAUUUGACUGUGGAUGGACAUGUAGAAUCUGAUGCCAGUAUCAUGGAUGGUGAUUCUGGAGCAUUUGGUGCUGUUGGAGCAGUGCCAGGUAUUCCAUAAGUUCCAAUUAACGAUAUGGUCUAUGUGUCCUUGUAUGAUACUUAACUGCACUGCAUGAUGAGUUCAAGUGCUUCCUUCCUUGAAUAUUCACUUUCCUGACUCACGUGCAAGUUGUGGCUUCUAUGGUGCCUAAAUAGAUGUUCUUCUGAUGAUGAUGACUGGUUGUCAGGUGUUAGAAAUGCUAUUCAAAUUGCUGCACUGUUGGCUAAGGAACAGACUUCAGGUUCAUCAUUGCUUGGUCGAAUAAACCCCAUGUAUGGCUAAAUUGUACCUCUGAACCUACUUAGCCACAGAAUAGCUUUUCUUUUGUAGCAAUUCAGUCUAGUACAUGUACUUCCUUGCAUGUCUUUUAUCCAUAAUCAGUAGAGACCAUCUAUUUUAUGAAACCUUGAAGGACUCUCUAUUCCAUUUUGACACUAUUCUUCAAAAUAUCCAGUAGACUUAAUGAUUAAAUUAUUGUCACUUUUGCCACACUGGGAAGUUGCAAUAUGAAUAGAGCUAAUACAUUUAUCAAUCGGAAAUUAGCCUUGCCUUUGCAGCAGUCAGUGAAUCUCAUGUCAUCUGGGCAUUGUACACUAUUUAACUUUAAUUUGCUUCCUGAAGGAGCCAUAGUUUGUAAUGCUUAGGUUUUUGGUUGGUGAAGGAGCACGAACAUGGGCAAAGUCAAAGGGUAUUGUCUUGCCAACAGUAACAGAGGCUGAAGAGGUGAUUUCUCGUUUUGUGACUGGAUAAUGGUUUAGUUCCUGUAGUACAAGUUUUUGUAUUUCAUACUUGGAUAAGGCUGCUAUAGUUUUUCUAUAUUAUGUAUACAGUGGCUGAUAACAGAAAGAGCAAAAUUGCAAUGGGAAGAGUUCAGAAGGAUGCUUUAUGAAGCCAACGCCACUGAAGAUGCUUCUAGAAAACUCACUGGUAUCUCCAAGGAGACUGCUGUCAUAUCAGGUACACUUGUGUAGUUGUCUAUGAAUAUACCUGGACUUGGCUACAAGUUUCAUAGGAUUACUUGGUGAAGGAUGGAUUCUAGGUACCUUUUGGGGAGCUUCAUCUGAUCCUUCGUUAUCUGAGGAACAUGGUGCAUAACUUAUCUUUAUCCUUAUUCAAAUUGUUGUCUUUUAAAAAUUUCCGUUAAAUGGACAAUCUGAGUUACAUGCUAUGAAGAUUCUCUUACCAGUAUCUGAAAUUUUGCUUUGGUUUUUAGUAGUUCUCUGUCGAAAAAAAAAAUGUGUCCAAUCUUUGUGCAAAACAAAUAUUUUAUAUAUUUCUUUAAGCAUUGGCAGGUUGAUGCAAUUUGUGCCUCCAUAUUUAGCCAACUUUCAGGUGACUAGCCAAGAAACCCGUUUCCCCUGCUUUUGGGGUUGUGAUCGCUAUUGGCUAAUCGCUCCCCUCCUGCCUCUGCAGCCCUGGGAAAAAGAUAGAAUCUUAAAGCUAAAAUAUUUGUUGUCAAAUGCUGUGGCUUUCUAAGCGUGUUAUUUGGUGAUUGAAUUUGAGUUCUUGUUCCAUAACUAGAGCCUCAAUCCUGUGAUCAUUUGAACGGAGAGGAAGUUGAUGCUCAAUCUUCUAAACAUAAUGCACUAGAAGAGGGUAGUGUUAUGGAUACUGUUGGAGUUAUAUGUGUUGAUUCUGAAGGACACAUAGCAUCUGGAUCCUCAAGUGGUGGCAUUGCUCUGAAGGUGACACUUAGACACAUGCAACUUUCAUUGUAGCCACAAUCUUUUUAUCCCCAAAAGUUUAGUUACCAUUAGCAUUCCCAUUCAAUUUCAAUCAUCUGUGCCUCUGGGAGCUUUGAGCUCAUAUUAUUCUGAAGAUCAGUCACAAAGUCCAGUUAAGUUUAUUAGAUUAUUGUCCUCUGUGGAAGACUUCCUUGGAUAAAUGUGUUCUGGGUGUCGGCAUCUGAUGCCGUAUAAGCAUGAGCAGGAAAUGGGGAGGCAGUGCUUUCAUUAACACUCGUAAUAUGUUUAGUCUCUUGAGGAUUUCACACUUUUCAUGGAUAUCUCUCUUUCUAAACCCAGGUUUCAGGUCUAAAUAAAAUGAAAAGUACAUAACAAUUAAUAGAUAUGAGCUUCAUGUCGCCAAUAAUUUGACGUAAUUGCUUAUCUCGAUGUUCUUCCUAGUGGCUUUAGAUUUGCCAUAUCUUUUAGAUGACAAAGUUUUUAUUUUAGGUUUCACAUCAGAUUUUAUCAUCUAAAAUGUUAACCCAGAAAAUGUAUGACAGGUUAGUGGACGGAUUGGAUUGGCAGCGAUGUAUGGUUCUGGUUGCUGGGCAUCCUCAAAAGGACCUUUUGGAGCACCUUUUAUAGUUGGUUGCUGUGUUAGUGGUGCUGGAGAGCAUCUAAUGAAAGGAUUUGCUGCCAGAGAAUGCUGCAUAUCUUCAUCUUUGUACGUGUUACAACUUACUUUAUUGAUCAUUACAAUUCAAACCUUGAGGAAGAUGGGAUAAAUUGUUUUAUAUUUAUUUUUUAUUUUUAUACGAGGUAUCAAUGUAUUAGGGAAUUAUUGGUAAAUGUUGAGCUGUCAAGUUUUAUUUAUUAGCUCAACUUUUAGUUUCACUCAGUCCUUCUCUUAGCUUGGUUUCACUUCUCCCCUUAGGAUUUCAGUUAAUACUUGUGAUAUUGUUCUCGUUCCUUAUCUGUAAAUCUAAAGUUAGGGCAUUAACUUUUAACAAAAUGAAAAUGAAAAUUGACCUUAAAAGAAUAGAACUGAGUAUUCGUUUUUACAACAAAGGGAAAAAGAAAUUGCAUGAGCUGUAUGUAGAUGGUUUAAGAUGCAGAUCACUGCAAAGCAUUUUAUGGAGUAGAAAUUGGGAAUAAUUGCUUUAUCUUCUUAUAAGUUUCUAAAAUUUUAAUUGGGUGGAUAUUGUCUAAAAAGCAACCUACAGGAAUUUAGUGGUGAACUUAAUGGAUCCUUCGUAUUAUAAACACAUCUAGUUUUGUUUGUGCUGCAUUUUUACCAAGUAAUAAACUGCUUUUAGCCUCUGACUAUGAUCAGUUAGACAGUCUAUUCAUUCCAGAAUGUAAGUUAUCUACCCAACUUCAAGCUAAUGACUUAUCCAAGGCUCCCUUAUGGAAAAAUCCAAGUACAUCAAAUUCUUAUGGUCGGGGGUAUGUUGCAUAUUUCCUUGGUGUCUGCUAAUUCUAAUCCAUGCUUUUGGAUAAUAUGGAAUGUGCUGUCAAUGGUUUUGGUUCCUUGUUUUGGGUAGUAAGAAUGAUGUAUAUCCAGUUUUGCCCCAAUGUUAAUAUUUGUUUGGCUACAAUGCAGAUCUCGGGCUGGUCCAGCCUCGGCAUGCACAAAAGUAUUGCAUGGCAUAAUUCAAGAAAAAAGUCAAAGGAUGACUGAUAUAAGUGCUGGGAUCCUUCUAGUUGAAGCUGAUGCUCCUAAACUGGUAUAUAUGUAUAUAUAGUCUGUGUUUUCCCUAUAUCAUUUGUGUACGUUUGAUAACUUCUGAACUGUGGUGUCAGGCUCCUGGGGGUUCACCACAACUGAAGGCUGUUGAGAUGGUAGCUGCAUAUACUUCCUUGUCAUUUGGUAUAGGUUAUUUUGGAAACAAUCUGCAACGCCCCAAGGUAGUCAUUCAUAUGUUUAUGUUGGUACUUGAUGUAAUGGGGAACAUUAUCUGGUUCAUGGAGUCCAUUUUAUCAGUUUUUUUUUUUGGAAAAAUUAUUAGAAAUGAUCUCUUGACAGCAAAGCUCUGAUAGAUUUGUUUGCCUGCAGUGUUUCAUAACUAGAUGAUGAUCACAGAAACUAGCAUUGAAUUUCGAUCCUCUGUGUUUUUCAGUACUUCAUACUCCCUUUUUCUUUCUGGAAACUGCAUGUUUAUGAAUUUUGUCAAGGAUGAUCAAUUUCAGCAAUUGAUUUAAGUAGUGUUUGUUAGUUGAUGCAAUAGCUUCAUGAUCCAGAGCUUCAAGAUCCCAUAGUCAAGUAAAUUAUGCUUUCUGUCUGUUAUAGGGUCGAUACAAGGGCGCCAUACCAGAAAGCUGUACCUUUUUAAUUCUUACUGACAUCGGGUUAUCGUCUUUGUCGUCAAUUGACAGGUAUCAAUACUUCGAAAUAUGAGGCAGAAGAAUGAAGCUAAAAUAGAUCAGUUUGCAGCACGGGUUAAUCUUGUGGGCGAGAAUCAGACGACGUAGCUGUGAAGUAGAAGAAAAGAGUAAACUCAGGCAAAAUGACUCUGCUUUUGGACCUGGUGAUGUUGUGCACUGCCGAAGACUUCUAUCUCUACGUAUCAGUAGAUUGUUUCCAAUCUCCGGAGGAGGCAUGCUUCUCUAGUAGUAGCAAUCCAAAAUUAAAGAGAGAGACUCAAUCCUCGCCGAGAGAGAUGUUUUAGGAAGUGAACCUGUAAUAGUGAAUCCAGGUGACGUGAGUGUAUUUGGAUAGGAGAUUAUUUGAAAUAAUUAUUAGAGCACUUUUUAUAAUAGUGAUGUAUGUUAGAUAAAAAUGUUGUUGAAAAGAUAAAAAGUUGAUUAGAAAUUGUAAUUGUGAAACAAGCAAAAUAAUAGCGAUCCAAAACUUGUUUUUCUUCUUCACCUUAUUUGCACUUCCACAUGUUUUAUCAGUUGUGACAGUGGAUGGUAGAACAUUAUUAGAGCUUGUCGAGCCUUAGUGGAUGGAUUUGGGUAAAACCCAUUUUGACGGCUCUACUUGAUGACUGGCAGCAGCACACUCCGCUAUGGUACAUUUGCGGAAAGCCUGGCGAGGACCACCUCCCCACCCAAAAGCGAUCGGGCCAGAUUAACAAAUGCGAUCGAGAAUCAUUACCAAUAUUUCAAAAAAUUUUCUUUGGCAAGUAAUUCAGACUUGCCUGUUAGUACCUUUUCUGCUUGAUUGUGAUGAUUAAUAUAGACAAGCUACACAAGCAUAAAGCAAUACCGUAUGUAAAGAUAUCUUGAGUCUAUGGAAUGACAAUUUUGAUGAAACUAAAAUAAAAAUUUCACGUAGACAGCAGGAUGAAUUCAAAAUAAGUGCAUGCAACCAGAAAAUCAAAGAAAGAAUACAAUGUGCAUGUAAAUAUAACUAAUCCUGAUAUUGAUAAUGUUACCAAAUCAGAAGCCAGUGCUUCUCUUCAUGGGCAAAGAGUGAACACAAAAAUGCAAUCUUAACUUGAAAAUAGGAUAUCCUAUUUUUCAUCUAAAAGGGUGGCGUCCUCAUGGCUCGUUUGUUGUUCGCUUCCUUCUUAAAAUACCCAUCUUGCACGGUUCUGUCUAUAUGCACAUCAUUUACCAAUUAAUAAGCUCGACCAAUUGCUCUUCAUCAUUUGAAAAUACUGAGCCAAAUAAGAUGCUUCUUGCUCCAAAGGACUCCCUAUAUGUCAUCUCUAUAAUAGCUGCAUAGAUUUUGCUCGGCAAAAAGGCGGACAAAAUUUUAUUUUUGGUGCCCUACAUGGAAAGAAGAUGGGAGGAAGUCGCAACAAAGGACCUGCACUUGUUUGAAGGAGGGCCUCUGCCUAUUGGGACAAGAGGUCAUGGUGAAAAUAUCAAUUGAAGUUGUGAAUUCUCUUUGCAGAUAUCAGAGUAUUUGACAGCAGCAUUGCUAUUGUCAUAGGACCAACUCCGCCAGGAACAGGAGUGAUAGCAGAUGCAAUUUGCCUAGCCUCAUCAUAACAAACAUCACCAACUAGCCGAUAGCCCCGAGGGCUUUCAGAAUCCUGUCACAGAGGCACAACCAAAAUUACCUUGUUAUUAAAGCAUGCAAACAAAUUCCACACUGCAGCUUAGAGGUUUUAAGCAAACAAAACAUUCAAGGGGCACUUGGAGCAGAGGAAGGGGGAGGAGGGAUUGAGGCAGUGGAAGCAAAGUGCCCAAUGACAAAUGAAGAUACCCCACCUCAACUGGAUUUAUCCCAACAUCAAUAAUAACUGCACCAGGCUUUAUCCAGCUACCCUUCACCAUAUUUGCUUGUCCUACAGCUGAGAUGAUAAUAUCAGCUUCUCUAGUAAACUCCUCAGGAUUCUUUGUUCUAGAAUGGACAACACUCACAGUUGCAUCUUCCCUCUACCAUCCCAAAGUACGAAGGGAAAAACAAAAAUUAAAACAAUUCAAUCUACUAACAGGGAAAAAAAAAACAGUGAUACACUAGCUCGUAAGGUUUUAAUUGAAAGAUUUCCAGCCAGAAAUAAUCUUACUUGUAGCAAUAGAGCAGCAGGCAUCCCAACAAUAUUACUCCGGCCAAUAACAACUGCUCUCUUCCCUUUGAUAACAACACCAUAUCUAUGCAACAAUUCUAUGCAUCCUUUAGGCGUGCAAGGCACAAAUAGUGGUUCCCUAUCUCGCAUGGCAAGACGUCCAAUGUUUAGUGGGUGGAAUCCGUCCACAUCUUUUUCAAUGCAAACAGCAUUUAAUACAUUCUGCUCGUUGAUGUGCUGUACAGGAUCCAUGAAGACAGGUGUUAAAAGUGACCUCAAACAAGAACUUAUAAGUUAACAUUAGUAACUUCCGAGUCUCUUACUAUAGAAUCUUAAGUUGUCCUAAACCAUUUUUAUAAAGCAGUCAAUCAAUUUACAAUUUACAGAUAAUGAAGGAAGCAGAGAAUAAGUUCAAUUUGCGUUGAGCAAUGAGAGACAAAUAUAGAAACACAAGAUAAUCAUAAUGGUAAACAUGUAUAGCUCUCUAGUCCUCACUCAUCAAAAGGAAUAAUUUUAAUGGUCCCAAAAUGUUAUAUUGAAGAAAUGAAAGUCCAGGGAAAAUUAUAAAGGACACAACAAAGUAUUAGCUAUAUUGUAAUUCACAAACAUCCAUUAAGAAUAGUUCACUUCAGUGCAAUGCUUCAUUUACAAAAGAAAUUAGCUCUACUUUAACUUGACUCAAGAUAGCAGAGGAAACAUUGAAAGUAGUUUACUUUUUUUUUUUCCUUAUCAUUUCAAGAACAACCCAUAUCAUUAUACAGGCCAAAAAAAUGUAGAUUCAGGCAUAUUUUGCAACCGAAUUUGAUCCAAAAAGGACAAGAAAUAUUGAUAUUCAAAACCAUACAGAAGGUAAAGGUAGCUGAACAAGGAUGCCAUGAACCGCAGGGUCAUUAUUAAAACUUGAAAUAUGCUUAAGCACUUCUUCUUCUGCCGUGUCUUUAGGCAAACACGCUUCAAAAGAUUUAAUUCCUGCGUCCUCACAAGCUUUCUUCUUGUUGCGAACAUAAGUUGCUGAAUCCUUCCUGUCCCCAACUAGGAUCACUGCCAGCCCUGGAACGACGCCUAGUGCCUCCUUCAUCUUAGAUACUCCUGCUGCUACUUCCUCUCUGAUUUCUUUAGCAACCCUUUUUCCAUCAAUAACUUUAGCAGAAGCUUCAGUAGCCAUAGCAGCUGAUUAACAAAAUUCAAGAAACAUUAGGAAAAAAUAAAGCAAAAACCCGAUGAAAUUCAAUGAAAAGACAAGAAACCCACAAUCACAAAAUGUUGAAGACGUGAUUUUUUUUUACUUAAUUGUCAAAUUUUAUCUCAAGCUGCAUGCAUAAUCAAGGAAAGACAUAAACUUUGAUUUUCAAAAACAAAAACGAAGCUUUAUGAGCAAUUCAUACGAAGUUGAAUUGUACCAGCAAUGAACGAAGGACGGUUGAUAGUUUGAGAGAAGACAGUUGUGGGAUUUUUGCACGGACGCAGAUGGACAUGACGGAGGGGGUUGAAGCGGCGGUGGAAGUGAAAAGCUCUGCAUUUGGAGGAGGUGGUGGCGGUAGUCAAUGGGAGGAAUCGACGAGAGGAGGAGGAGGAGGAGGAGGAGGAGGUUGAGCAGCCGGAGAAUACGAGUUUUGAAGUGGUAGACGACGUCGUCGUCAUGGAGGAGGGCGAUGCCAUGAAUGGCCGAAGCGAUUGGAGCUGCCUGAGUAUCAGCCCUAUGCUUGCUGAUGCUUUAAUCCCGCCUUUGUUGCUUUUAGGGUUUAAUGCUUUUGUAGCUGUGUAGAAAGUACAGUUUUACAACAACUGAAUGAAAUUUUACAGAGCCAAUUGAGAAAGUUUCUCCCCCGAAAGGAAAAACAUAAGUUGUCUGCUUCUUUUCUUUGCUUCAAAUUACUUUCUCACCCAAAAGAAGAUGGGUAAAUUUUUUGAGUAAAUCUGUAGAUUUAGAUGGAUUGUGGAUCAGUGGAUCAUAUACUUCGAAAAUUUAGAUGCUUUGUUAGUAUUAAAAGUGGCAAAAUGGAUAUAUGGUUAAUAAAUGGUUUUAGUUAAAUGGAUAAUGGAUCAAAUUGAUCCAAUCCAAUUAAAAUCACUUAAUAAAUUGAUCUAAAUGGAUGUCAUUUAAAUGGAUAGUGUAAACCAUGAUCCAUCCAUUUAUCCAUUUACUCUCCCAAAUCUUAAAUUUAAGAUCCAAAUAUUUUUUUUUCAAAAAAUACAUAUCCCCAAAGUUCUAUCCUUAAAUCACCUAAAAUCUUUUGGUAAUAACAAAUGCUUGUACUAUACUCUAUUUCAGUUCUUCAUAAAAUUAGUUUAGUUCAAAGAAAAUUUAACUGAUGUGGUCAAUUUAACCUCUCAUCAUUACUUUAAGUAUCAUUUUGUAAAGUAAUGAACAAUUAAGAACUUCGCUACAUUUUUAUAACUUUUGGGUGAAUUGAAUACGGCUUUACAGUGAAAAGAAGUUUACGUUUCCAAUUUUUACACUCCUGUUCAAGAGGGAUGCCUUGAAUAAAAGUGGAGUUCUAAUAAAAAAUCUUAUGUUAUUUAACAAGUAAAAUUUUUCAUCACAUGUGCACGUAGUACCUAAAAAUGUAUGAAACUCCUUAUUAUACUAUUGAUAUACAAGCUACAUUAUAUUACUUAGUAAAUUAGGUGUCUUUUUUUUUUUUUUAGUGGGGUUGGGUAAUAAGGGGAGAGGGAUUGUAAGUAUGAGAAUUUGGAUUCAAAACCUUCAAUUUAUUAAAAAAAAAAAUAAAAGAAGGUGUCAUUUACGUUUCUUAACCAAUAUUGCGGGGUACUCGUUAGAAAAAUUCUUUUUAUAAAUAAAAGAAUUAAAAAAAUGAAAAAUUAUUUUAACUGGACCCACCAAAACCCAUCAACGGCCGUACAUUGCAUCACAUGUCCUUUACAAUUUUGAAAGUCCAUUUAGCCCUUGUAUACAGGGACGCAUGCUUGACAAAGUAGUUCUUUGAUUGGUUAAAGGACUUGGAAGUGAGGCAUCAUAGCAGGGACUCCAGAUUAAACUCCCAUAAGGACUUUGGAUGUUACCAUGAAUGAAUGCAUUUGGUCCAUGUCUUUCUCCACCAGCGAGGAUGUGAGGGUGGUGAUAAAGUAGGGAAGUAGGUUCAUUAACCCUGCAGAUCUAGUUUUCAGCUAGAGUCUCAUGUUGAUUUUGCCAAUUUUUAUAUUUUCUGGCAACAAAUCAUUUGCCUUAAAAUUUAACAAAUACAAAUUGGCAUCUAUUCAAUUGGGGAAGGAUUUCGCAUGUCUUGUUGUUUGGAAAAGUUUCCACUCAUGUUUCCAGAAUACCUUUUCAUUUAUUUUCUAUUUCUCCACUGGAAUAUUUCAUGUUACGAAAAUACACUAUUCCAUGUGCAAAUGGAUUCUCGAAUUAUAGGUCUUUUAUACUGUUACAUAGAAAUUGAUCAAACUUUUGAAUGCUCUAAUGCUUUACUAGGAGUUUUAUUGUCAGGAAGAGAAUGCAUUAUGUCCCUUUGUUUGUUGUUGGAAUGUGCAAGUUUUGCAGGAAGAUGUCAUAAACGUUCUCACAUGUCACUGAUUAUGGAAGGUAGAAGUUUUGUGGAGUCACAACGUGUAAAGGUGAUAACAAAUCUUGCUUUCAGUGCUAUGUUACGGGCUGGUCAACUUUUGAUCAUGAAGACACAAUGGUUCAUAUCCAGAAAUUAUACGAAUUUUGAGCACAAUACAUGGAAAGAUAAUCUUUCUAUCCAGAUUAUAUUAGACUUACUCUCCAACAAGUUAAAAGUUAGCAAUAUGUGCUGUUGAUGACAUUAAAUUUGUCUGUGCUGAUUGCCCGAUAGUUAGGCUUGACUAGCAGGCUUGGCUGAGUGAAUCUAAUUUGUGUUUUCUUAGCCCUUUAAGUGUAGUGUUAUGAGAUGGCUUUCUUAUGGGUGAUCUGAUUUUUUGCUUAGUGUCUAUUUCUGUCUGUUGUUCUUUGACAAUGCACCAUAUUGCCUGAAGUGGCUCUAGCUUAUUUUUACAUAUCAUAAUAUAACAUACUUUGAGGAGCAUAGACGAGCAAAGGGGUUUAUACAGACAUAUAUACAAUGUUUUCAUGGCUUGCAACUGCACUUGCAUUGGGGGAAAGUUAUGUAUUGUAAACUCCGUAAUGACAAAUUAAUUACCUUCCAAUGGUAUUAUCCACAUGAAAACCAAAGCCAUUCUCAGAUUUCCCUGUUUUAUGCAUUUCAGCAAAGCUUCCUGCUUAUUACAGACUGUAGACUGGUGAUUCAAGUUCAAUGAAAAUCCUUAUACUAUAUAAGAACGAGUUUAGGACUAGAUUUCAACAGUAGGGGUGAGGCUAUUUUGGGAAUGUGAGAGUGUUUGAAAAGUAAUUGGAACAUUGAGUACAAGUCAUUAUAGCUUUAAUUUCACUAUAAUUACUUAUAUAACCUUUCAGACAUUUAAGGUUAGAGGCAAGUUUGAUAUGUUACAAUGUUUGGUGUCAAGUUUAGUAUCAAGUACAACUUAAUAAAGAUUUUAUUUUGAUAGAAUUACAUAAAAGUCCUUUUAACCAUUUAUUAUACUAACAUCCAAACCUUCCAAUUUCCUAAAAUCUUUCUCAUACGUUAAGAAAUUAAUUGGAUGUUUAUCCUUAUACUACAUAAGAACGAGUUUAGGACUAGAUUUCAAUUGUAGGGAUGAGGCUAUUUUGGAAAUGCCAGAGUGUUUGAAGAGUAAUUGGAACAUUGAGUAUAAGUCAUUAUAGCUUUAAUUUCAUUAUAAUUACUUAUAUAACCUUUCAAACAUUUAAGGUUAGGGGUAGGUUUGGUAUGUUACAAUGUUUGGUGCCAAAUUGAUUAUCAAGUACAACUUAAUAAAGCUUGUAUUUUGAUAGAAUUACAUAAAAGUCCUUUUAAUCAUUUAUUAUACUAACAUCCAAACCUUCCAAUUUUCUAAAACCUUUCUCAUCCGUUAAGGAAUUAAUUGGAUGUUUACAUAAUUCGAUUUUAAUUACAAUUAAUUAAUUUAAUUAUUAUCUGAACAAUCAUUAUCAUAUUUAUGUCCCCAUGUUUAGUUGAUACCCUUUCUUCUUUUUUGGUUUCACCUCUUUGAUUUUAUUAUGGCUAUUAAAUAUUUGGUGGAAUGCAUAGCUUUUCCUUUAAAUUGAGGUGAGUCCUUUGAGUUUGUCUUCUUCGAUUGUAAUUUUUUUUUCUGAUGAUUGGUUUAUUCAAUAACUCCAUAUAGUUUGCCUUUUGAUACUUCUAAUUCCAAAAACUGACUAAUUGUAUUAUUUUUUUUAGUAGAUCCCAGAGAUUCUGUCUCUGGUCAAAGUACAAUUUGAGAUAAUGUUGUCACUUUCUAAAAUAAUCAGAAAAGUAAUUUUAUCAUCUUCUUCUCCUCAACCAAGGUAUUAUCUCUUUAUUUAAAUCAAAUAACCUUAUUUCUCAUGAAUUUUCUCCUAUUAUUCUUGACUUCAGGGAUCCGUUGACUACAUUCCAGCAGUUAUGGUUCAAGUAGUUAUUUUUUCAUGUAAUAUGAUUUGAAAUUCAGCUUGUGUUUAUUUUAAUUGAAAAUUUUAUGAUUAUAAAAUUUAUUAACUUAGAAUUUUAUAUUUCAUUAAAACUAAAAAAGAAAAUUAAUCAUGCUACAUAGUACUAAGAUGUCAUUUGCACUUUAUUUGCUUUCCAUGUUAUGAUCUCGUUCUUGUAUUAUACUGUUUAUAUAGUUUCAAAUACAAAAAAUUUGUUUUUUUAUGCUAUGUAAAAGAAUUUGUAGUGAAACUUGAUGAGUUAAAAUGCUUUAGCUACAGCACUAUUUUGAUUGCAUUGUAUUAAUUCAUUUACUCAUAAUUGUAUGUUGUACAAUGAUAAAUAGUUUCUUGAUUUGAUUGAAGCAACUAUUAUCCAUAGUUCAAACAAGUCAAUUAAGUAGAAAUGUUAUAUUGGAUACUUAUAUAAGUAAACAUUAGAAAAUAUCAUUAAACAGUUUUUACCUAUAGUUUGCAAUUCGAAUUCAUAUGAGGAAUUUCUUUUGAUUUUACUUACCAUUUUCUACAAUUUCAAAUUUAGAAAAUAUUAUUUACACCAAUUUUUUAUAAUCAAGAUAGUUUCAAUUCAGAUCUUUAACAAUUAUGCAGAUUUGAACUUAUUUAUGAGAUUUUAAAGAAAUGCCACUAACAAAAAACACCAAAUAUGAAUAGUUUCUACAAAACUUUAAAAAAGACCAUUUAAAUUUCUUAUCUAUCUAUCAUUUUUGGGCAUUAUUAUCUAUGUAAGAAACAUGUGAUUAAGUCGUAUUAUACCUACCAAAUUAUAUAAAUAGUUAGUAAAAAAUAAAAUUAUUUUAGAUUAUAUUGGACGCAAAGUGAUUGAUGGAUAAACUUGACUUGAUAAUUCAGGUUGAGUUUAAGUCGCGGGAGAAAUCAGAAACAUUACUUGAGGGAUCUUUCACGAACAUAUAUAGAUUUGAGAGAUGAAUGAUCCAAUUGAUACUUUAAAAUGUUUUAUCAUCUUGGAUAAGUUUUAGAAGAGACCUUUAGAUACUUUUCAAUUGCACUUCAAACAUUCUUACAUUUUCAAACUACCCUUAUCUUUACAGUUGAAAUUCAAACAUAACCUUUGAUUACAACAGAUUCUUAUAUAGUAUAACGAUAAGGAUGUCUUAUUAUACAUUAUUUUUAUUGACUCACUAUGUAACUUAUGAUUUUUCUAUUAAAAUCACAUGAUAAAAUCAUCAUACUUCAGUUCAUAUACUACAAAAUAUUAAACAAUAAUUAUUAAUUAUCUUAAAUCACAAGCACCAAAUUCUCGCGCGUCGCGCGGGCUGUCCCUCCCUAGUAUUAGAUUCUAAAGUAGACAUUUUCACAGUUAUUGUUACUUUAUCUCAUUAAUUGUAAAGGAUGGUGCACUUUCAUCGUCAUUUAAAUUUAGCAUAUUUUAAAGAAUUAGCCAUCUUGCAGGUUAUGAAAAAUAUUUGUAGGCAUUAAUUGUCUCAUCAUGACAAGGAUAAGUUAAUUAAUAUUGGGAUUUUUUUCCUAAGUAUACUUAAAUUAUACUUAAGUAAUCAUUUGAAUGCAUUCACAAUUAUUUCGCCCAUUUCAUUUAACCUCUUUUCCAAAUUAAAUUUACUUUUACGAAAAAAUUAAUGUCUGAUACCUCUCUUAAUGUAGUGUUGAAAACAUGACUCUUUUAAUAUCUCCUACCUCUUUUAUCUGUAAAUUUACUUUUACAAAAAUAAAUAAAUUUAAUUUCAUCUCCUGUUUGUAUAGCAAUUUUUUGAAAAUUUUGAAGAAAAAUAUAUUAUAAUGAUUUAAUUUAUGCGAGAUUGUUAUAGGAUUUUCCUGUAACACAGAUGCGUAAACAAUGUCCAAUAGUUACAAAGUGAAACAAGCAAAACUUAUAAAUAUCUAAUCAUGGCAUAUGAUAGUAUUUAAAAUAUUUACUAGAAGUGCUAAAUGAAAGCAUAGAAUAAGAUUUUUAUAUGUCAUCGAUUGCUUAUACUAAUAUUUCCAUAAUGUUUGAUCAUUCUUCUUUGCACGAAUGCAAAACUAAAGAAAGGAUAAUUGAUAAAAUUUCAUCUCAUUUAAAGCAAAACGAUUAAGUGUAAGGUCAUGAUAACUAAAAGAGAUAAUCUAGAAAUGUUAUUUUGCAAAAGAAAUUAACUAUUUAUUUUGUUAAUUGUGCAGGAUUUUCAACACAUUACAAAGUGAACAAUUUGAUGUAUAUAAUGAUGCUAAAUGUCACACGUAAAUCCAAAUCUAGUCAUUCAAAGUGGCAUCAUAACUCUGAAGUAAUUACCAAAUAUGACCAUGUUCAACAACAAUAAUAUGUAUAUGACCAAAACCUAUGUCGUCACCAGAGUUUACAAUUUUACUUUUCCUUUCUUCUUCUCCUCACAAAUAAAAGAAACUCAAUAGACUGAAGUUGUUCUAAUUACACAAAAGUUAGAACAACUUCAUUCUUUCUUAUAAUAAACGGUGUCAUCGUUUUCCAUUUUUUAAAUAGUACCAACUAGUUAUAACAAGACAAAGAGCUGCCGAAAAGCAUGCCGCGAGAAUAAUAGAGGAAGGAAGAAGGAAUGAGCAGUCCUUACUUGAUUACUUCUAGAAGCACCAAACGAAAUAAAUUCCAUGAUGAUAUAUGAACCCCCUGUUGGAAGUGGACCGACCUAGAAUUCCAUUUUAUCAAGUUUGUCAUGUCAAAUAACCUAACACUGAAGUAAAGGGCAGAUAGUAAGUAAUUGAGAAGCAGCCAUUAAAAUACACGAUUUAUAACCUCAUCUUAAAUGGUUCAGGCACACGAACUUUUCUAGUUUCAUACAUAGCAUUCAAAGCUAAAGCCUCUCCCUCAAACAUUGAUGGUUCAACGCUCCUAUUCAAAUUUUGGAGUAAUGUAAGAACAUGAAAGCAUGCAUUAAUCUCUUAGUUUUACAAGAAAAAAUAAAAGAAAUAUAUUUUGUUGGUCAAAAAACAAAUGCAACAUUCAUGCUGUUUCAUAUUCUCUUCUUUUAUCAAGUCUCAGAUUCAUCAAUAUGUUAGAAGCAUACAAACUCAUGCUACUUCGUAUGGUAUCAUUACUUGUUUGAUGAGUCAUUGAAAAGGUGGCGCUGCUAAAUUGGGAGAGAGAUAUAAGGACUGAAUUAGGAAGAAUAGGGAGAGAGAUAUAGCUUGAGGAGGACAAAACGAAAUGUUCUGGACAUGCGUCAUUACAUAAUAGUCCAUAAUAACCUUCGUUUGGUUCAAAGUACAAGUGAAAAUGAAGGAGGAGGCUACUUCUCCUCAUCAUUCAUCCCACGCACAAAUCUUACUGACAGUACGUUUAGUUGAAACGGAUGGCUUCAUGCACCUAUACUACGACCGAAAUCAUGUUCAUUCUGGAAAUCAAAUCCAGAAUAAGAGAGCGAGUGAAAUCAAAUCCAUUCCGGUAUCAUUCUGGAAAGAGACUAUGUCGCGCAGCUUGUUGAGAAGAAUUUUUGCCGUGCACCUUCCAUUCCCAACUCCCAACUCCACCGCCUUCCACUACCACCAUCCACCACCAUCACCCCAUUAAACUCUUUCUUUUCGUCCUCCCCAACUCCCCACCCCACUUUACUCCUUCCCGUUCCAUCCAAUUCCGAUGGAAAUCCAAACGGCCAACUGAUCAUUUGAAGCGAAAGGAGCUCCGGUUUUUAACUAAACAAUGCCGCUGCAGAGAAGACGGAUGCGGGAAAUCUUUUAAAACUCUCAAACAACUGGAUGAUCAUUAUAAGCUUAAGCACAAGAUUGCAGAGAAACAUUUGAUUCGCUGCACAUGUGGGAGCCGCUUUCACUCAGCCCAAUCACUGUCCGAACACAAGAUGAGUGACUGCCCGGUAAAGGGUUUCAGAGAUUGGAAGCACUAUCGGAAAUAUG
rnacentral:lncRNA from 1 species